CCUACGGGACGCAGCAGUAGGGAAUCUUCGGCAAUGGACGAAAGUCUGACCGAGCAACGCCGCGUGAGUGAAGAAGGUUUUCGGAUCGUAAAACUCUGUUGUUAGAGAAGAACAAGUAGGAGAGUAACUGCUCUUACCUUGACGGUAUCCAACCAGAAAGCCACGGCUAACUACGUGCCAGCAGCCGCGGUAAUACGUAGGUGGCAAGCGUUGUCCGGAUUUAUUGGGCGUAAAGCGAGCGCAGGCGGUCUUUUAAGUCUGAUGUGAAAGCCCUCGGCUCAACCGAGGAAGGUCAUUGGAAACUGGAGGACUUGAGUGCAGAAGAGGAGAGUGGAAUUCCAUGUGUAGCGGUGAAAUGCGUAGGUAUAUGGAGGAACACCGGUGGCGAAAGCGGCUCUCUGGCCUGUAACUGACACUGAGGCUCGAAAGCGUGGGGAGCAAACAGGAUUAGAUACCCCUGUAGUC
rnacentral:rRNA from 1 species